rnacentral:tRNA from 1 species
GCAGUCGUGGCCGAGUGUUAAGGCGAUGGACUAGAAAUCCAUUGGGGUCUCCCCGCACAGGUUCGAAUCCUGUCGACUGCG